GGCCAACACUCAAUCCACUAAGCCACACCAGCCAGAGCCAAAUAUUUUCAUAAUGACCCCCUAGUUAAUGUCUUAACCAAUUGUUUUCAUAUUUUCAUUUCCUGAGGAAUGCAUUUUUUAUUCAAAUUUUAUGAGGUAAAUAUAUGACAAGAAAAUUAUGGGACAACAAGAUAAGGCAUUAAAUGAUGGUACGGGUCAUUUGGACCCAGUAAUUUGUGACUGUUUUAAGAAAAAAAGAACUUCUAGAGCUCAGUUGUUGUGACUUUAAAAGGAAUUAGAGAAAUAUCUUUUGAAUUGUUUUAUCAUAUUAUUGUAAAUGUGCUAUUUCUAAUAUACAUCAAAAAUCCAAAUUUUCUUGCCUAGGUUUUAUUUUUUUUCCUGAAUUUUCAUCUCAUAAUGGGGAUGCUAAAGUCAAUGCAAAGGGACAACUUUUUGUAUCUUAAAAAAUUAUCUUGAAAAUACUGUAAGUAUUAACCCCUUCUCCCCCUCCUCAAUGCAUAUGGCUUUGUUGUUCUGAGUCAACAGAUUAUUUGUGUUUGCUGGUUUUUGUUUUGUUUUGUUCUUUUGCUUUUCAAUUCCAAUUGACAUACAAUAUUAGUUGCAGGUGUACAACAUAGUGAUUAGACAUUUAUAUAACUUACAAGCUAAUUACCUGACAUGUCUAGUAUCCAUCUGGCACUAUACAUAGUUAUUACAACACUAUUAACUAUAUUCCCUAUGUUGUAGUUUACAUCCCUGUGAUUAUCUUUGUAACUGGCAAUUUCUACUCCUUAAUCACUUCACCUUUUCCAUCCAUCUCCCUAACUCCCCUUCCUUCUGUCAGUCAUCAUUUUGUUCUCUACAUCUAUGAACCAACAAAUUAUUGUAAUAGCAUCAAAUGAAGUAGUUGGAUUGGCCUAUAGGCUAUAUAAAAUGAAAAUUGGUUUUGAGCUUGUUUAUUUCUUAGAUGCUUGUACAGGUUGAAUGUUCUUAGUCUAAGUCCAUGCAUGAUUCCAUCCCACCAAGUAUGAGAUUAUGUUCCAUCCUCCAGUGGUUGGAGGUGCCCUGAGGAAAUGUGGAGUGACUGACAAAAAUAAAAACACCCAGGUAUAUUCAGCAGCUUAAAUAUAUGUAAAAGGCUUAGCAGGUCUUUUCUGUAGUGAUUCCCCAUUCUUGAUGGACUCAAAUGACUCAGUUCUUAGACAAGUUGUGAUUCUUUCUUCCAGAUCCUCUUUGGCUUUGCUACACCAUUAUACAAGUCAUUUUAUUCAUUUUUAAUUGAUUGCAUUCAAUUCAUCUUUUCAUAA